GGUAAAUAAGAGGAGAAAAGGUAAAGGAGGACCAUGUCCCCACUAGUAAAUAACAGGAGAAAAGGUACAGGACGACCAUGUCCCCACUGGUAAAUAAUAGGAGAAAAGGUAAAGGACGACCAUGUCCCCACUGGUAAAUAAUAGGAGAAAAGGUAAAGGAGGACCAUGUCCCCACUGGUAAAUAAUAGGAGAAAAGGUAAAGGAGGACCAUGUCCCCACUGGUAAAUAAUAGGAGAAAAGGUAAAGGAGGACCAUGUCCCUACUGGUAAAUAAUAGGAGAAAAGGUAAA